GGAGGGGGCAAGCGUUGUUCGGAAUUACUGGGCGUAAAGCGCGCGUAGGCGGCGUGCCAAGUGUGACGUGAAAGCCCUCGGCUUACCCGAGGAAGGGCGUCGCAGACUGGUAGGCUAGAGUGCCGGAGGGGGUAUGCGGAAUUCCUGGUGGAGCGGUGAAAUGCGUAGAGAUCAGGAAGAACGUCGGUGGCGAAGGCGGCAUCCUGGACGGACACUGACGCUGAGGUGCGAAAGCGUGGGGAGCGAACGGGGGAUUAGAUACCCCGGUAGUCCACGCCGUAAACGAUGGGCACUAGGUGUGGGGUUGGUGACCCAACUCUGUGCCCGGAGCUAACGCAGUAAGUGCCCCGCCUGGGGGAGUACGGUCGCAAGGCUG
rnacentral:rRNA from 1 species